rnacentral:tRNA from 1 species
UCAAGGAAUAGUUUAUGUAGRAUUCCAGCUUUGGGUGUUGGUGGUG